GACGAACGCUGGCGGCGUGCUUAACACAUGCAAGUCGAACGAUGAAGCCGGAGCUUGCUCUGGUGAAUUAGUGGCGAACGGGUGAGUAACACGUGAGUAACCUGCCCUUGACUCUGGGAUAACUGCGGGAAACUGUAGCUAAUACCGGAUACGACCCUCGGAGGCAUCUCCUGGGGGUGGAAAGAAUUUCGGUCAAGGAUGGACUCGCGGCCUAUCAGCUAGUUGGUGAGGUAAAGGCUCACCAAGGCGACGACGGGUAGCCGGCCUGAGAGGGUGACCGGCCACACUGGGACUGAGACACGGUCCAGACUCCUACGGGAGGCAGCAGUGGGGGAUAUUGCACAAUGGGCGCAAGCCUGAUGCAGCAACGCCGCGUGAGGGAUGACGGCCUUCGGGUUGUAAACCUCUUUUAGCAGGGAAGAAGCGAAAGUGACGGUACCUGCAGAAAAAGCACCGGCUAACUACGUGCCAGCCGCCGCAGUAA
rnacentral:rRNA from 1 species